rnacentral:rRNA from 1 species
UACGAAGGGGGCUAGCGUUGUUCGGAAUUACUGGGCGUAAAGCGCACGUAGGCGGAUACUUAAGUCAGGGGUGAAAUCCCGGGGCUCAACCCCGGAACUGCCUUUGAUACUGGGUAUCUCGAGUCCGGAAGAGGUGAGUGGAAUUCCGAGUGUAGAGGUGAAAUUCGUAGAUAUUCGGAGGAACACCAGUGGCGAAGGCGGCUCACUGGACACGUAUUGACGCUGAGGUGCGAAAGCGUGGGGAGCAAACAGG